rnacentral:rRNA from 1 species
UGAACGCUAGCGGCAGGCUUAAUACAUGCAAGUCGUGGGGCAGCAGGGUUGUAGCAAUACAAUCGCUGGCGACCGGCAAACGGGUGCGUAACACGUACGCAACCUUCCCGUUACUGUGGCAUAGCCCAGGGAAACUUGGAUUAAUACCACAUAUUAUAUUGGUGAGGCAUCUCACUGAUAUCAAAGCUUCGGCGGUAACGGAUGGGCGUGCGGUUGAUUAGAUAGUUGGCGGGGUAACGGCCCACCAAGUCUACGAUCAAUAGCUGAUGUGAGAGCAUGAUCAGCCACACGGGCACUGAGACACGGGCCCGACUCCUACGGGAGGCAGCAGUAAGGAAUAUUGGGCAAUGGACGAAAGUCUGACCCAGCCAUGCCGCGUGAAGGAUGAAGGUCCUCUGGAUUGUAAACUUCUUUUAUCUGGGGCGAAAAUCACCUUUCUAGGGUGCUUGACAGUACCGGAGGAAUAAGCACCGGCUAACU